GCUCCCUUGUCUGAAAACCGGGCUUAAUGGUAAUAGCUGUACUCAUUCGCUUCACAAGCCACCUAAAAGGAUCUGUAUGUGUGCAAUCCCCCGAACGCCACCCAAAAUACAGAUCCAUGGUCACCUGGAAUGCAACCAAGAGCACAGGCGGAGCUAAGGUGCAUGAGGCAUAGGUAAGGCUCAUCGCCUGAGCCCUGGGCCCCCAGCACGGCUCAUGCAGGCCUGAGAGUGUCUGUAGCUACCUGACUUUUGACUCUGUUGAGCUACCUAACGAUCACAUGCUUGAAGGAAACUGGUAUUGACUGGAUGUCUACUUUGCGAGAGACCUCUGACGUUAUGUUAUUUCAUUUAGUUUGAUCCUGCUAGACUGCACUCUUCAUGAGAACGUGGAGCACACUUGCUUUAUUUACAGCUGGACACUGAGUGCUCCUCACAGAGCCCAGCAAAUAAUGAGAGCCUGAGAAGUGCUUGUCAACAAACUUGAUUCCAACACAGGAGGAAGCUGAGGCUCAGGGAGGUUAAAUAAUAGUCUGUGAUAAACUAAACAGCAGCAGUUCUGCCUGCCUGAUUCCAAGGCCAUGUCCAUGACACCACUGAAAUACACCGCCUGGGGGCAGAGCUACACAGCUCUCUGGCUCCCGUAUUCUUAAUUUAUGUUUUCUCUUCUCCAGGUGGAAAUCUGGAAACCCUACAUAAUAGCUUUACAACUGAGAGCAGUGUCUUAAAAUUAUUAUCAAUACCCUUUUAAACCCAAGGAAUGGAGAGAGUGCUUUGGUGAGGAAUCAUGCUACAGAGGGAGAAAGCCACUGGGAAACCUUUAGUGUCCCACAGAAUGAAAGGAGUUAGGGUCCAUAGUGCAGUUAUUUUAACAGAGCUAAAAACUGAUUUGUAAAAACAAAAAAUAGCAACCAUUAAGUACGAUAACAUAUAAAGCCCCAGCAACAGCAAACAACUAAUGUAAAUGUGGUUGAAGUGAUAGGGGUGAGGUGUGCAAACUGGGCCAUUCACCCAGUGCAAACCCGCUGUGCAAGCUGGUGCCCUGUGAAGGACUAUGACAAAACUUCCACCUCAGUCUAGGACAGAUGUCCCUCCAGCUUGGACAUCUCUAGAGUUGUGGCAUUUACUCAUCACUGCCCUCAGACCUGGGCAAGAGUCCUUCUCACAGGUGCUGCUCUGGGCUUCUUCCAGCCACGUCCUACCCUAUAGGAUCAGGAGUCACAUGGGGCCAAAGGAAAAUGCCCACAAUUUUGAAUGACAGCGAUAUUUGUUAACACUUGAAAGAGUGAUGAAGAGUGGUUUCAUCUUCAGGAGAAGACGAGCAGAAUGGCAUCUGAAAGCCGCCUUCCAACAGCACUUGGUUGCCAACACUGAUUGCAGGCAUGAGCGAUGCCCAACUUAUGCUCUUGGGGUGCACAAAAUCGCUGUCUGCUGCACAUUGGAGGGCAGAGGACAAUGCUCUUCUUGGUGCCCUGGAAACUCCCAAUUAGGUGAGACAUCCAGCAGCAGCUUCUUUCCUCCUGGGAAGGAGCAAUAGCUCUCGGAGGGCAGGUACCGUUUCGUCUUCAUCUUCCGUGAACCAUCAUGACACAGAACAAAGACCAUCACAGCGUGGGAGCUCCGUAGACACCAGUGGAUGGGACCAGCAGUAAUGAUCUGAAAUCUGACGUUCUCAGUCCCCCAGUGCAUGUAAUACCGGUAUUACUUAGAGUCUAGGGAACUCGAGUCCUCUUUGCUGCAGGUAGCAGUGGGGAGACUGAGGGCUUGCAAACAAAUGGCAAGUACUGAAAAAGGAUAGUAAAUUGAUCCCAAACUUGCUGUUUUGAGACACUUUUGUAUAAGAUCAAACAGUGUCAUGACACAUGUUCACAACACAUGAAGUCCUUCCUGACUACUCAAGCCAGACAGGACAUCUCUUCCACACCCCACCCUGCAAUGCUAGGGCUGUUUGAGUGUGUGUGUUUUUUUAAAGCCUAGUUACAAUAUUUCUUGUAAAAUUGAGACAAACUGUAACUUAGGACAAACUCUUUUCAAUUCCAUGCCACUGGAACAGUCAACUGAGCUGUUACGGAGAAAAGCCUUAGAGGUGCUGAGGGAAAGCGCCUUAGGUUCCUGAUGUCUAACAAUCAAAAUUAUACUUGAAGGAAGUCAGAGCAAACUGUUUCACUGGAGCAGUGAGGAAUCUAAAAGAAUAUUUCUCUUCUCUUCUUCAAAGAUGCAAUCCUCUGCUUUCUUUUGCUUGUGAAAAUUUAGUGAACAGGUACAGAUGGAAACUAAGCCCUGGAGUUCAAACUUCCAAACUCUGGUGGAGUUCAAACAUCCACCAGAACAUCCCACCAGCGGACCCUGGUUUCAGGAUGCUGAAAAUUCACUGGGACCAGAACUGACAAGUCCACAGGUGGAUGUUUGAGAACUAGUGAACUAGGCAUUACCAGCCCCCAUUACCAGGUAGGGAGACAGACUAGGAGGUAAAGUAAGUCUCCUGAGAUGGCUCAGCUAGUGAGGGCAGAGAUGGGCUGUGGGCCCUGGUUUCCCAGCGACAAGCCCAGGGCAGUUUCCAGCGCAGCAUAGAUUUCUCCUGGCUUUGAAGAGGCAGAACAACACACACACAUCCGUAUUAACAAGCUCCCCAGAGGAUCAGAGGGCCACUUACUGUUCCUGUUGGUAAGGGACUGUAAAUGUGCCUCCACUCAUGUUUCUAGAGCAUUCCCUUAGCCAGCAGCUCCCUGAGAGACAACAGAACCCACUCCCAGGAAGUUUUACAGUUCUUAGCCAGAGCCAUUCCUGUGAUCCAUGAAACACUCCAACAUCGAAAAUGCUGAGCACGAAGCCUCCCCUACACCCACAGCACUCGAUAGCUAUAAAAUCACCCCCACUGCAGAGCUUGAGUGAAAAAGUGCAAAACUGAUAAACAUCAAAUGCGUGCCUCUGGGUUCCUGGAGGCGUGUUAAUUAAUUCUGAAAAGUGAAAAGACCCUAAAAAGUCAAGUUGUAGUUACAAUUUGGACAUCUCUGAGCCCCCCUCCCCAUUCCUACAUUCCUUUCCUUUCUGCAGGGUUUUCAGAAUUGAACUCUAAGUCCAGCCCUUCCAACCCAAGACUGAAUCUUAGUGGAAACCAUUUCCCUUUUGGAGAAGCCCAGAAAUGGCCCUGAGAUUAGACUGGGAAGGGGGGGGGGCGGAGGCUACACACUAAUAUCACCCAAAGAAAACUUGCCAAUAAGAGUAGGGUCCCCUGGAGAAAUAGGCGC